rnacentral:rRNA from 1 species
GACGAACCGUGCAAACGUUAUUCGGAAUCACUGGGCAUAAAGGGCGCGUAGGCGGCUUCAUAAGUCAGGGGUGAAAUCCGGCAGCUUAACUGUCGCAGUGCCUUUGAUACUGUGGAGCUCGAGGGAGGUAGGGGUCUGUGGAACUUCCGGUGGAGCGGUGAAAUGCGUUGAUAUCGGAAGGAACGCCGGUGGCGAAAGCGACGGACUGGCUCUCUUCUGACGCUGAGGCGCGAAAGCCUGGGGAGCAAACGGG